AGAGUUUAGCUCCAACCCUGAUCAAACCCACUACCUGUGAUUUUUUAAUGAUCCCAAAGACAUUGAUGAACAGGCUCAGGUGUGUUUGAGUAGGGUUGGAUCUAAACUCUGCACUGGCCCCCCAGGGCAAGAUUUAAAUAACCCUGCUAUACAUCCUAUAAGGUAGCAGUGUAUGCAUUUGUAUGACUUUUGUAAAUGUUAACCUCUAAACCUGUACUGCAAAAUCACCUCACUGUAAAAUCUGAAUUAUUUAAAAAAAAAUAAUCACAUGUCUGUGUGCUUUGUACUGCCAUUUCAGGGUGAAAAAAUAAAUAAAGCUAUAUAUUAAAAAUC